CACGUAGGGUGCGAGCGUUGUCCGGAAUUAUUGGGCGUAAAGAGCUCGUAGGUGGUUCGUCGCGUUGUUCGUGAAAACUCACAGCUCAACUGUGGGCGUGCGGGCGAUACGGGCAGACUGGAGUACUGCAGGGAAGUGGAAUUCCUGGUGUAGAGGUGAAAUUCGUAGAUAUCAGGAGGAACACCAGUGGCGAAGGCGGCUUCCUGGACACCAACUGACGCUGAGCCGCGAAAGCCAGGGGAGCGAACGGG
rnacentral:rRNA from 1 species